AAGGAUCAUUACCGAGUUGAUUCGGGCUCCGGCCCGAUCCUCCCACCCUUUGUGUACCUACCUCUGUUGCUUUGGCGGGCCGCGGUCCUCCGCGGCCGCCCCCCUCCCCGGGGGGGUGGCCAGCGCCCGCCAGAGGACCAUCAAACUCCAGUCAGUAAACGAUGCAGUCUGAAAAACAUUUAAUAAACUAAAACUUUCAACAACGGAUCUCUUGGUUCUGGCAUCGAUGAAGAACGCAGCGAAAUGCGAUAAGUAAUGUGAAUUGCAGAAUUCAGUGAAUCAUCGAAUCUUUGAACGCACAUUGCGCCCUUUGGUAUUCCGAAGGGCAUGCCUGUUCGAGCGUCAUUACAACCCUCAAGCUCUGCUUGGUAUUGGGCACCGUCCUUUGCGGGCGCGCCUCAAAGACCUCGGCGGUGGCGUCUUGCCUCAAGCGUAGUAGAACAUACAUCUCGCUUCGGAGCGCAGGGCGCCGCCCGCCGGACGAACCUUCUGAACUUUUCUCAAGGUUGACCUCGGAUCAGGUAGGGAUACCCGCUGAACUUAA
rnacentral:rRNA from 1 species